AGAGUUUGAUCCUGGCUCAGAACGAACGCUGGCGGCGUGCCUAACACGUGCAAGUCGUGCGGGAAAGCGGGAGCAAUCCUGUUGGCACAGCGGCGCACGGGUGAGUAACACGUAGGUAACCUGCCUUCGAGACCGGGAUAACCUGUCGAAAGAUGGGCUAAUACUGGAUAAGACCACGAUGGCUCUGGCUGUCGAGGUAAAAAGUGGCCUCUGCUUGCAAGCUACUACUUGGAGAUGGGCCUGCGCGCCAUUAGCUAGUUGGUGGGGUAACGGCCUACCAAGGCAAAGAUGGCUAGCUGGUCUGAGAGGAUGGCCAGCCACACUGGGACUGAGACACGGCCCAGACUCCUACGGGAGGCAGCAGUGGGGAAUAUUGCGCAAUGGGCGAAAGCCUGACGCAGCGACGCCGCGUGGGUGAUGAAGGCCUUCGGGUCGUAAAGCCCUGUCGGGAGGGACGAAACCUCGGCGACCUAAUAUGUCGUCGACCUGACGGUACCUCUUAAGGAAGCACCGGCUAACUCCGUGCCAGCAGCCGCGGUAAUACGGAGGGUGCAAGCGUUGUUCGGAAUCACUGGGCGUAAAGCGCGUGUAGGCGGUCCUCUAAGUCUGGUGUGAAAGCCCGGGGCUUACCCCCGGAAGUGCACUGGAGACUGGAGGGCUUGAGUACCGGAGAGGAGGGUGGAAUUCCUGGUGUAGCGGUGAAAUGCGUAGAUAUCAGGAGGAACACCGGUGGCGAAGGCGGCCCUCUGGACGGCUACUGACGCUGAGACGCGAAAGCGUGGGGAGCAAACAGGAUUAGAUACCCUGGUAGUCCACGCUGUAAACGAUGGGCACUAGGUGUUCGGGGUAUUGACCCCCUGAGUGCCGCAGCUAACGCAUUAAGUGCCCCGCCUGGGGAAUACGGUCGCAAGAUUAAAACCCAAAGGAAUUGACGGGGGCCCGCACAAGCGGUGGAGCAUGUGGUUCAAUUCGACGCAACGCGAAGAACCUUACCUGGGCUAGACAACGUUGGACAGCCUCAGAAAUGAGGUCUUCCCGCAAGGGACCGGCGGUUCAGGUGCUGCAUGUCUGUCGUCAGCUCGUGUCGUGAGAUGUUGGGUUAAGUCCCGCAACGAGCGCAACCC
rnacentral:rRNA from 1 species